rnacentral:tRNA from 1 species
GGAUCUGACUCCUUCAUGCAUGCUCCACUUGGCUCGGGAACUCGUGAACUUAGCCGAUACAAAGCUAUAUGAU